rnacentral:sRNA from 1 species
AGCCUUUGCCCUUCCUGGGCGUUUCCUCCCUGUAGACUUUAGGCCGGCGCUGACUAAGCCCGGCCUUUUUUUUGCCUGGA